rnacentral:lncRNA from 1 species
ACUCCUUUGAUUUAAUAGGACUGUAAUGCCUAGAAUUACAAUGAUGAAAACAGUGUGUGUGUUUGUGUGUAUAUGUGUUAGUUUGUGUCUGUGUGUAUCUAUGUGUUUGUGUGCCUGUGUUUCUGUGUGUCUCUUUGUGUGUAUCUAUGUGUGUGUCUAUGUGUGUGUGUGUGUGUCCGUGUUUGUGUGUGUGUAUCUGUGUGUGUAUGUCUGUGUGUGUGUCUGUGUUUCUGUGUGUCCGUGUUUGUGUCUGUGUGUGUGUUUAUGUGUUUGUGUUUAUGUGGUUGUGCGUGUGUUUCUGUGUGUAUGUGUGUGUCCGUGUGUGUGUGUCUGUGUGUUUGUGUGUGUUUCUGUGUGUGUAUCUGUGUGUGUGUGCCUGUGUGUGUGUUUAUGUUUGUGUGUCUGUGUUUCUGUGUGUCCGUGUGCAUGUGUGUGUCCGUGUUAUGUGUAUCUAUGUGUGUGUCUGUGUGCUUGUGUGGUUAUGUGUGUGUGUGUCUGUGUUUCUGUGUGUCUCUUUGUGUCUGUGUGUCUGUGUUCAUGUUUGUGUCUGUGUGUAUCUGUGUGUGUGUGUCUAUGUGUGUGUUUAUGUGUGUGUGUGUCUGUGUUUCUGUGUGUCUCUUUGUGUCUGUGUGUCUGUGUUCAUGUUUGUGUCUGUGUGUAUCUGUGUGUGUGUGUCUAUGUGUGUGUUUAUGUGUGUGUGUGUCUGUGUUUCUGUGUGUCCGUGUUUCUGUGUGUCUGUGUGUGUGUGUAUCUAUGUGUGUGUCUGUGUGUUUGUGUGAGGUGUGUAUGUCUGUGUCUGUGUCUGUGUGUCUGUGCAUGUGUGUGUGGUGUGUGUCUGUGUGUGUGUGUGUCUGUGCGUGUCUGUGUGUGUGUGUGUCUCUGUUUCUGUGUCUCUGCACGUGUGCGUGUGUUUGUGUGUGUGCGGCAGAGGGCAAGCAGGCAGCUCUGGGCAUAACCUAGCCUAGGCGUCUGGGAGUGAUCCUGGGGUCCCAGCUACAAACUGAGGCAGCUGAGCUACUUUUGGGUGACUUUUGGGUUGUCCUCACCCACCGCUUCCUUUCCUCACAGGGAAGUGUGUACAGCCCCCCAGAG